AGAGAUGCAAAUUUCGUCAUUCAGUUCUUGCUUGCAAACUCAUACAGAGGUACUGAUGUGGAGACCAAAGUUACGUGUGUGAGAUUCCCUACUACCCUGCACUACUAAAAUGACAUUCAGCUGUCCUGAUUGUGUCCAACCAAAGAAGCAUUCAGUCAAGGUUAACUCUCAAGCACCUUAAGACAUGGAAUGACUUGGGUCAUGCAACACACUGUAUCCUGAAGCACUGAAGAAAUCGAACUGUUGCUACUGUCAGGUAACACCACCCCCCAAACCAAAAUACUUACAGUUGCACUGGAGCUUCCCAAGGAACUUGU